GGGGAUUUAUUUUUUUUAAAUAAAACUUUUUAGGGAAACGUAAGGAAUUAUUGGAAGUUUCUUCCUGAAGGUUUUGCAAAUUUUCGGAAAUUUGGGGAUUUUUUUUGCUAAAUAUUGUUCAGACAAGGAAACUAUAUUUUUUAGUGCCGGUAACUGAAGACAACAGUCGGGUUAAACAGAUUCAGACUAAAAACUGCUUUUAAAAGAGAAGACUACGUCAGCAUGCUGGUUCAGGACGUUUAUCUGACUGAGGGAUGAUUAAAGUCUGAGUGUGCGGGCUCAGUGAACCUGUGAAGAACCUCCUGUUUGAUGGAUGGAUGUUGGUCUGUUGAUCUGAGACGUGCAGUACCACUGUGGACCAGCAGGAGGCAGCAGAUGCUCUCUGUUUCAGGUUCUCAACAUGUUUCCACUCACAUUGUUUUUGACUGAAGAAUAAAACUUGUUCAGAACCUGACAGACUCCAGCUGAUUUUACUGCAGCUCUGAAGGUUUUUAUGAGCCGAUGGAGGACUUUAUAUCAUCAAAAACCCACAGACACUCUGCAGAACUACUGAGAAGCAAAUGGACACAAACUUCAUGUUCAGGCUGUGGAAUGGAAAUAGUUCAACAUCUACAGGAUGUGGAGACACCUGACCAAACACAUCUACUUGUUCUUUUCCUCAGAUUUUUCUGAUCUGAGUGGGUUCCAUCUUUCUGACUCCUUCUGCCAGAAGACGUUCUGAGUUCUCUCCUUCUUUAUGUUGUUCUGGUUCCACAAAGCUGCAGGACUUUAGAUUAAAAAAUGAAACACGGGGAAGAAAAGUGAGCCCCAAUCAUCCUGGCAAUGGUGGUGCUACUGGUGUUACUGGUGGUGGUAUUGGUGUUACUGGUGGUGUUACUGGUGGUAUUACUGGUGGUAUUGGUGGAGUUACUGGUGGUGGUAUUGGUGGUGUUGGUGUUACUGGUGUUACUGGUGGUGGUUGUUCCUCUACAGGCCUCAGCACAGAUUCUCUGAGAGCUAACACAGAUGCUAACAAUAGCUGUCAGAGUUUAACUGUCAACAGCAGCAGUGACAUCCAAGGACAAACCUGUUUACCUCACUGCACAUGUCCAGCAGCACCUGGUGGAGGUCAGCAGUUCAGGUAGAACAUCACAGGUUCAGGUAGAACGUCACAGGUUCAGGUAGAACGUCACAGGUUCUGGUAGAACGUCACAGGUUCAGGUAGAACGUCACAGGUUCUGGUAGAACGUCACAGGUUCUGGUAGAACGUCACAGGUUCAGGUAGAACGUCACAGUAGAACGUCACAGGUUCAGGUAGAACGUCACAGUAGAACGUCACAGGUUCAGGUAGAAUGUCACAGGUUCAGGUAGAACAUCACAGGUUCAGGUAGAACGUCACAGGUUCAGGUAGAACAUCACAGGUUCAGGUAGAACGUCACAGGUUCAGGUAGAACGUCACAGGUUCAGGUAGAACGUCACAGGUUCAGGUAGAACGUCACAGUAGAACGUCACAGGUUCAGGUAGAACGUCACAGGUUCUGGUAGAACGUCACAGGUUCUGGUAGAACGUCACAGGUUCUGGUAGAACGUCACAGGUUCUGGUAGAACGGGUCCACUCUUACAACCUCCAGCACUGUGGUUCAUUUUUAAUGUGGAACCAGAACAACAUGAAUAAGGAGAGAACUCAGAACCAUCUUCUGUCAGUAGGACUCAGUUAAAAUGAUGGACCCCAGAAAACAGUUCUUUAAUGUCUCAUUUCAGCUAAAGCCUUUUUGUCUCCUUCAUUGAGAUUCAUGAGAACUUUAGUCCUCCAGAGACUCAGCUGACAGUAAAUGUCAUCUUAACAAAUGGUAGCUGCUUGUGGGAGUUUGGUUGUAUUUUUUAUGUUGCCAUGGCAACAGAGGAUACUGCAUUCUGACUGGUUGGAAAGGAUUUCCCAUGUCCUGACAGUGUCUGGUUAAAGCGCCUCCUGCUGGGCAGAGGAUGGAAGUUAACCAGAGGCUGUUCUGUACAUGAUGGGGUUGGUUUAUUCUGUCUGGAGGUCCAGAUGUUGGUUCUGAUCAGCAUCAGGCUGUGGCUGGACUCUAUGAUGUUCACACGAAACUACAAAUCAUUCACUUCCUACCUUCCAGGCGCUGAAAGCAGCACAAUGACCUGAAGAUAUUUAGCUCUGUUUGACAAUGUAGAGGUUGGUUAGAGAUGGGUUAGUAUGAGGUUAGAGAUGGGUUAGUGAUGGGUUAGUAUGAGGUUAGAGAUGGGUUAGUAUGAGGUUAGAGAUGGGUUAGUGAUGGGUUAGUAUGAGGUUAGAGAUGGGUUAGUAUGAGGUUAGAGAUGGGUUAGAGAUGGGUUAGUAUGAGGUUAGAGAUGGGUUAGUGAUGGGUUAGUAUGAGGUUAGAGAUGGGUUAGUGAUGGGUUAGUAUGAGGUUAGAGAUGGGUUAGAGAUGGGUUAGUAUGAGGUUAGAGAUGGGUUAGAGAUGGGUUAGUAUGAGGUUAGAGAUGGGUUAGUGUGAGGUUAGAGAUGGGUUAGUGAUGGGUUAGUAUGAGGUUAGAGAUGGGUUAGUAUGAGGUUAGAGAUGGGUUAGUGAUGGGUUAGUAUGAGGUUAGAGAUGGGUUAGUAUGAGGUUAGAGAUGGGUUAGUAUGAGGUUAGAGAUGGGUUAGUGAUGGGUUAGUAUGAGGUUAGAGAUGGGUUAGUAUGAGGUUAGAGAUGGGUUAGUAUGAGGUUAGAGAUGGGUUAGUGAUGGGUUAGUAUGAGGUUAGAGAUGGGUUAGUGUGAGGUUAGAGAUGGGUUAGUGAUGGGUUAGUAUGAGGUUAGAGAUGGGUUAGUAUGAGGUUAGAGAUGGGUUAGUAUGAGGUUAGAGAUGGGUUAGAGAUGGGUUAGUAUGAGGUUAGAGAUGGGUUAGUGAUGGGUUAGUAUGAGGUUAGAGAUGGGUUAGUAUGAGGUUAGAGAUGGGUUAGUGAUGGGUUAGUAUGAGGUUAGAGAUGGGUUAGUAUGAGGUUAGAGAUGGGUUAGUGAUGGGUUAGUAUGAGGUUAGAGAUGGGUUAGUAUGAGGUUAGAGAUGGGUUAGUAUGAGGUUAGAGAUGGGUUAGUAUGAGGUUAGAGAUGGGUUAGUGAUGGGUUAGUAUGAGGUUAGAGAUGGGUUAGAGAUGGGUUAGUAUGAGGUUAGAGAUGGGUUAGUGUGAGGUUAGAGAUGGGUUAGUGAUGGGUUAGUAUGAGGUUAGAGAUGGGUUAGUGUGAGGUUAGAGAUGGGUUAGUAUUGGUUAAAAUCUUUAACUCACCAGGUUGUCCAGGUUAACGUUGGGUUAAUGUUUUAGCAUUAGCUAGUUAAGGUCAAGGUAAGGUCAAGUUGAGGUCAGAGUGAAUCUUUUAAUGAGCUGCAGCAGGUGAUCAGAGCUGGUCUUUGGUAUCUGUUAUUGAUUAUCAUCCCUGCUCUGCCUUCAUGCAGAACGGUCUAUUUUUAGCGCGGUUAUACGGAGAACCAGUCAUGCCUAAAGAAGCCAGCUGAUGAUGGUUGUAGAACUCACUGGAGUGAAGUGAAGCUAGGGAAAAUGCAGCGAGCGGUUUGACUGGAUGAUCUUCCAAAUGAGUCCACAGCUGGUUGGAGCUGCAGCUUCUGGUCCAGCUGCUCGUCCUGCUUCCACUCAUCACGUCUGCAGCACAUUUUUAUUCUUCCUGUUUCCCACCAGCGUCUUGAGAUCGUCGUCUGUUGGCUGAAGGCACAUUAUCACUCAACAUGUCUGGUUUUAACACCUCCGUCCGGUGUUUGGGUCACAGACUAUGCUAAAAUACACGUUUAGUGAUAUUCUAUCUUCAUGUUGUCAACAGAUCCAGUGAGCAGCAGUGGAAGUAUCUCAGAUCAUUCUGUGUUUUUAUUUUAGAAAUGUGACUGGAUGGAUUACUGUGCAGGAAGAAGCUUCUGUUUUGUGAGACUGCUCUCAUUUUUGUUAGAAAGUUGAUCAAAUGACCAGAAAAAUGCAAAAUAAUAACGAACACUCAAAGUUACCACAAAACGAUGAAGAAGUAUCCAAAAGAAACACAAUAAGACCAGAAGAAGAUACAAAAUGACCUCAAAGUGCUUCAGAGAGAAAAGGUUUUAACCCUCCUGUUGUCCUCAUUUAUGGGCACCAAAAAAUAUUGAUUCUUUGUAUGAAAAAAUCCAAAAAUGUAGCAAAUAUAUUCCUCAAAUUUCUGAAAAUGUGCAAAACUUUCAGGAAGAACAUUCCAAUAAUUCCUGAAAAGUUUUAUUUAAAAAAAAAAAAUUGGCAAGAUUAUUAUUUUUUAAAUCUUUUAUUUUCAAAUAAGGAGUAAAAAUCUUCCAAAAAACCCUAAAAAUAUAUAAAAUGAUUACAUCUGUAUCAGUAAAACUUCUAAUAUUUUCCUUUAAGAACAUUCAACAAAAAAUCAACCAAAAUCCAGCAAAAAAAAACAAAAAAAAAAACGCUGGAUUUUGGUUGAUUUUUCAGUGAGUGUUCUUAGGAAACAUUUUUCCCCACCAGAAAAAGUUCAAAAUAUGGACAUCAGAAGUUUUAUUGUGAAAUCUUUUUUUUUUCACAUUUUGAAACUUUAAACUUGCAAAACCUUCAGGAAGAAAAUUCCAAUAAUUCCUUAAAAAAUUCCCUUAAAAGAUUUACCGGUAUUUAAAAAAAUGGCAAGAAAAUUCUUGUAAAUAUUUUCAAAAUGAGUACAAAUAUUUUUUUAAAAAUCCUAAAAAUAUCUAAAGUUAUUCCAUAUAUAGCAGUAAAACAUCUAAUAUAUUAUUAAGAACAUUCACCCCAAAAAAACAACCAAAAUCCAGCGAUUUUCACUGGAUUUUUCUGUGAAUGUUCUAAGGAAACAUUUUUAACAUUUCUUUUUUCCAUCUAAAAAUGUUGACAAAUUUCCUAAAAAUGUUGAAAAUGUGGACAUCAGAAGUCUCACUGUGAAAUUAUAUUUUUUCCACAUUUUCAAACUUUAAAACGGGUCGAUGUUGACCUGCAGGACGACAUGAGGGGUGAAAGUGAGACAGACUGAUGUAUAACGUGUUUUCUAACGAGGCCACAGUGACGCUGGUGUCGGUCGGUUUGAUGCCUGUCAGCACAGAGUAAACAGGAAGUGAUGUUUGCUUUGGGCUCUGCUUCCUCAGCAUGUGACUGAUGGAAGCCUGCAGGGGUUUACUCAUGAGGCUGAGGACUCGGUCACAUUGUGGGACUCUGGUUUGGUCCUAAACACGAAACUCCACAAGGAAAACGGUUCAUUUGUAUGCCGAAAACACAAAAAGGCUAAAUGUACUUAAAGUGGCCACAAAGAAGACAAAACAUGACAAAAGACGAAGAACAGCCAACAGGACGCAAAGUGACCACGAAAAGCUCCAUCCAUCAUCCAUCAUACAUCCAUCCUCCAUCCAUCCAUCAUCCAUCAUACAUCCAUCCAUCAUCCAUCCAUCCAUCCAUCCAUCCAUCCAUCAUACAUCAUACAUCCAUUCAUCCUCCAUCCAUCAUACAUACGUCCAUCAUACAUCCAUCCAUCAUACAUCCAUCCAUCCAUCCAUCCAUCAUCCAUUCAUCCAUCCAUCCUCCAUCCAUCCAUCCAUCAAUCAUAAAUCCAUCCAUCAUCCAUCAUACAUCCAUCCAUCCAUCAUCCAUCCAUCCAUCAUACAUUCAUCCAUCUAUCCAUAAAUCAUACAUCCAUCCAUCCAUCAAUCAUAAAUCCAUCCAUCAUCCAUCAUACAUCCAUCCAUCAUACAUCCAUCCAUCCAUCAUCCAUCCAUAAAUCAUACAUUCAUCCAUCCAUAAAUCAUACAUUCAUUCAUCCAUCCAUCAUCCAUCCAUCCAUCCAUCCAUCCACCUCUUAAUCCUCUGUAGGGUAUUGGGGGGGGGGCAGAGUCUAUCCCAGAAAAGUGAGGGCAGGUUCACCUGGACAGGUAACAGUCUAUCAGAGAUAUGCAAACACAAACCAAGAACAAAAAAGAGAUACUAAACAACUAACAAGAAAAUGUACAUAAAAUGACCUCAAAAACGGCACAAAGUCACCCCACAGUUACCACGGUGACACAACAUGACCAAACAGUGAUACAAAACUAAAAGGCAGAAAAAAAAUUCAAAAACCAACCAAAAGAAUGUUAGAAAACUUUUUAAAAAGAAACACAAAACUACUGAUGAUACGCAAAACAUCCACAAAGAGAUGAAACUAAGCAGAGCCUGAUGCCCUGGAGACUCCUGAAAGUUCUUCUAUUUCCUGACCCUCUGUUCAAGCAGGAGGUCGACUCGUUUACAACCAAGACCUCUGAGGUCUCCAGUAAAUGUUGAGACCAAAGAUUGUUGUGACCUGCUGAGAUCUGUGCGUGUUCUCCAGAAUAACUUGUCUUAAAGGUUCAUCUGUCUUAUCUGUUUUCAGGAGGAUCAUGUUGAGUCCAUCAUCCUUCAGGAAGUCCAUGAGGAAGAGGACUUCAGCUCUGAGAACCACAGGAACAUCAUCAUGGACGCCAUGGAAUUAUUCUGUUGCCAAAUCUAUUUUUUAGCACCAUGCUGUGUUUUCUAUGGGGAGGAACCAUCCGCCUCGUGAAUUACUUUCUAGAUUCUGGACAUUUGUUCUAAUGUGUUUUGAUUUCUGUUCUUUUUUGCCUUGGUGAAGACAAAGCAGCUCCAGCGGUCAAACCGUCCACGAAUGUCUGGCAGGAAAAAGAUUCUCUGAAUGUUUCUGUGUUUGUGAUCAGAAUAUGAGUAACAUCUACCUCAGUUCAUCAGAAGCUUUAACACCUCCAUGAUCUCCAACAUCUGGUGCAGCAACUCACUGAAGCUCUAGAAACUGCCAACAAAAGAUAGAAGAUGUUGAUAGAAUCGAAAUAUGAAGCCAAUAAUUAACGAUUCGGGCAUUUUGUUUUGCACAUUUUGUUAAUUUAUUUGUGAAACGGAGUGAAUGUGAGAGUUUGAGUUAAAUGUUGAUUUAAAGGCAAUAAUGUUCUCAGAGCGACUCGUCUUAAAAAAGCUGAAACUGAUUCUUCACUUCUUGUAGUUUUCCCAGAAUCAGACCAAGUUUCUGCUUCCAACUAAACCAGAAAAAACAACGAAUGCUACUGUUGGUUUCACAGCAAAGUCUGGAAAACCAAACAUUUAUUUAUGUAGACCUACUGGCAUUUUUACUCACCUUUCUGUUUCUGCUUUUAGUCUCUGUUGCUCUUUUCUCUUGUUUUUGUCGUUUAGUUUUCAGACAUAAUAAGAAAAAUAUUCCCAGAAUGAAAUGUGGGGUUAUCUCCAUAAAACUAAUAUUAGUGAUAAUAAAUGGAAAUGUUUCCUUGCACUGAAGCGAACAGCUAUGCUAGGCUAGAAGUUUCCCUCCAUUGAAGCUACAAGCUAAGCUAAGCAUUUCCCCCACAGAAACUAACACCUACGCUAAGCUUACAACUUCCUUUCACUGAAGUGAAGCUGUUUUCUCCAAUAGCUAAGCUAACAGUUUCCUUACAUUGAAGCUUAUCGCUAAGCUAACAAUUUCCCUCCACAGACACUACGAGCUCAGCAUAGCUAACAGUCUCCCUCCACUGAAGCUAAUAGCUAGGCUAAGCUAACAGCUAUUCUCCACUGAAGCUAAUAGCUAAGCUAGAAGUUUCCCUCCACUGAAGCUAUUAGCUAAGCUAAUAGUUAUCCUUCACAAAAGCUACAAGGUAAGCUAACAGUUUCCCUCUCUGAAGAGCUAAGCUAACAGUUUCUCCCUCUGAAGCUAAUAGCUAAGUUAAAUUCCCCUCACUGAAGUUAAUGGCUAAGCUAGCAGUUUCCCUCCAUUUAAGCUAUUAAUUAAGGUAACAGUUACCCCCCACAGAAGCUCAAAGCUAAGCUAACAAUUUUCCUUUCUGAAGUUAAGAGCUAACAGUUGUACCCCCUCUGACGGUUAGAGCUAAGCUCACAGUUUCUCCCUCUGAAGCUAAUAGCUAAACUAACAGUUUCCUCCUCUGAAACUAAAAGCUAAGUUAGCAGCCAACCCCCUUGAAGCUAACAGCUAAGCAAACAGUUAUCCCCUCUGAAGUUAGUAGCUAAGCUAACAGUUUCCCCCUCUGAAGCUAAAAGCUAAGUUAGCAGCCAACCCCCUUUGAAGCUAACAGCUAAGCAAACACAUAUCCCCCUCUGAAGCUCGUAGCACAGUUUAAACAGUUUAAUCUCCGUCUGAUUCUGGGACCAAACAACCAGCUGUCCUGAUUCUUCCACUGUCGUGUCUCAUUGUGAAACAGCUGAAGGAGGUGUCGCUGCGACGCUUCAGCUCUGAUUAGCGUGUUCUGUUUCAGCUCUGAUUAGCGUGUUCUGCUUCCUGUAUGUGCAAUAAUAGCGCAGCGCUAACGCUAGCUCCACACGUUCCUCCAUCAGCGAUCCAUCUGCUCUUCAUCUGUUCAUAAAGCAAUAGAGUGGAAGCUGAAUGCUUUCUGCUUCUCUUUUUUAUUCUCAUGUUUAUUUUGACAAUCUUGAAUUGUGAUCUAUUUUUGAUAAAAUAAAUCUUUAAUCCUGAUCGAUCUGCAUGUGUCACAUGAUCACAUGCAGAUGUGUCACUUCCUGUUUCCUGUGUUGUUAUGUGUCAUUACCAUGUUCAGUCUGUGGUUCAUUUUAACUCUCUGUUGGUUCAUUUUAACUGUGGUUCAUGUUUAAAGUCCUGCAGCUCUGUGGAACCAGAACAUCAUGAAGGACAGAGAACUCAGAGAUUCUCCUGUCAGAACGACGGAAACCAGAAGAAAUAAACUGUCCUUUGGUUAUUUAUUUAAAAAAUCAGUCAAACAGAAUCAGUUGGAACCAGGACAAAGGAGGUUUGGUGAAACAGUGAAUCAUCUUCAUCCAUGCUGAGGUUCUGCUAGAACCCGUCACAUGUUCCAUGAUAUUCUGAUAGACUAUUUUAUGAUCUGUAAUGAGAUAAGAUAAAACUGUGGGCCAGUAAUAAUAAUAAUUCUGUCAUUGUGUUUGAAUAUAUUCCGAGUGGAGACACUGAUCAGCAAAACGUUCAUCCACUAAACUUACUUCCUGUUUAUUUCCAUUAAUGUGGCGGAUGAACCCGUUGGUGAUCAGGUCAGAUAGCAGCUCUUCUGAAAGUAGAUCUGAUGCAGUUUGAUAACCUUUGGGUUAGGGGUUAGUUAGUCUGUGGGUUAGGGGUUAGUUAGUCUGUGGGUUAACGGUUAGUCAUGGGUUAGUUAGUCUGUGGGCUAGGGGUUUAUUAGUCUGUGGGUUAGGGGUUAGUUAGUCUGUGGGUUAGGGAUUAGUUAGUCUGUGGGUUAGGGGUUAGUUAGUCUGUGGGUUAGGGAUUAGUUAGUCUGUGGGUUAGGGAUUAGUUAGUCUGUGGGUUAGGGGUUAGUUAGUCUGUGGGUUAGCGGUCAGUUAGUCUGUGGGUUAGGGGUUAGUUAGUCUGUGGGUUAGGGGUUAGUUAGUCUGUGGGUUAGCGGUCAGUUAGUCUGUGGGUUAGGGAUUAGUUAGUCUGUGGGUUAGCGAUUAGUUAGUCUGUGGGUUAGGGGUUAGUUAGUCUGUGGGUUAGGGGUUAGUUAGUCUGUGGGUUAGCGGUCAGUUAGUCUGUGGGUUAGGGAUUAGUUAGUCUGUGGGUUAGCGAUUAGUUAGUCUGUGGGUUAGGGGGUUAGUUAGUCUGUGGGUUAGGGAUUAGUUAGUCUGUGGGUUAGGGAUUAGUUAGUCUGUGGGUUAGGGGUUAGUUAGUCUGUGGGUUAGGGGUUAGUUAGUCUGUGGGUUAGCGGUCAGUUAGUCUGUGGGUUAGGGAUUAGUUAGUCUGUGGGUUAGCGAUUAGUUAGUCUGUGGGUUAGGGGUUAGUUAGUCUGUGGUUAGCGGUUAGUUAGUCUGUGGGUUAGGGAUUAGUUAGUCUGUGGGUUAGGGAUUAGUUAGUCUGUGGGUUAGGGGUUAGUUAGUCUGUGGGUUAGGGAUUAGUUAGUCUGUGGGUUAGCGGUCAGUUAGUCUGUGGGCUAGGGGUUAGUUAGUCUUUGUUGGCCCUUCAUAUACCCCGAGCUCCUCCAAAAUAAACUGAACAGAAAAUAUUUUCUCAAAGUUCACGGUUAAAGAGAAAAAGUUAAAAAAUAAUCCAAAGAGAUUUUCAUGCAAAAGCUUCAGUAAUGUGAAGAAAUCGAGUUGAAUGGAGGUUUUCUGUUGAUCUCAGUAAAGCAGUUGUACGAGUUAGAGUCACAGUGUCGUAGUUCUCACUCUGAAGUCUUUACUAUUUAUCAGAGGUUUCUCCACGCUGAAUGUUGUGCUGCACUGGUUCAGGGCUUCAGAGGGUUAAAUAUAAAAUAACACAUCAGAAUCAUCAAACAGUUUCAUGGUCUGAUCUGUGACGUGUUUCAUAAAUAUUUUUUAUGUUCAUCAGCUGUCUCCAUCCAGUUUCAGCUCAUAUGUUGAGGGUCAGACUCUAAACCAAACCCAGCCUUCACCAUCCUGCUGAUCUGUACAAUAUUAAUGUGUGUAGUUUGUCCAGAUGUUUGUGUCGUAACCAUAGAAACCAGCAGUUAUUCAUCAAUAAGCAAUAAUGCAUGUAAAGUACAACAUCAUCAGCAAAAGAUGAGUCGUCUGGUUGUUCUUAUCUGUGCAUAAAAAGUAAAUAGUGCCUUAAUAACCAUAAUGAUGUUAAGUUAUGAAUCUGUUUAUGCAUCUGAAGUAUCAUAGAAGAAGAUUGUGUGAUGGUGUUAGAAGAAUACAGUAUUAAUGUAGAUUAAUGUCUUGAAUGUACAGUAAGAAGUCUUCCUGGUUGGUGUUGGGCGGAAAAACUUAAGAAAAAAAUGUUAAACAGCCUGAGUCUGAGAGGACAGACUGCUGCUGAGUGUUUGACAUUUAGAGGAUUUAUCUUUUGGAGAAAAUGCAGUUUUGGUUCGUUUUCUUUAGAAAACAGGCCAAAAAACACAAAAAAACUGAUUUAAUGUUGAGACAGAGUCACAGAAAAAUAGUUUCAUCGACAAUAAAUGACAGAUUUAGGAUAAAAGAAGUAAAAAAAACGAGCAGCAGGAAUGUCCUCUCUGCGCUCCUGUAGUUUGGUUUUAGAACUAGUUCUUCACACGUUCUGUUUUCAUCCGUUUCUCAAGUACGAAAAUAUUUUAAUCAUAAUAUGGAAUGACAGUUUCACACCAGUGUACAUCUCAGCCUUUAUUUCAGAGUGUUCAUAUAUAAAAAAACACUCAUUAUUUACUGAAGAUAAGGUAGUGGAGUUAACCCUCCUGUUGUCAUCAUUUUAUUUCACAUUUUCAAACUUUAAAACGGGUCAAUUUGAUCCGUAGGACGACACGAGGGUUAAAACUUGACCUUUCACAUUGUUAAAAAAUGACAAAGAAAAGAAAAAAGGUUUGUGGAAUUUUGGGAAAAAAUAUUAUUUAUAUUUUUAAAUGUGUUAAAAUACAAUAAAAAAGAAGAAACACCUGAUGUGACAGGUGAAGAAGAGCUGAAAUAAUUCUAUAAUAAAUAAGUGAUGCUAACUGAACCCUUGACCACAUUCCAGCCAGAUGUGUCGCUUUAAUUGUUUCUUUAAAAAUGCUAAGAUUCAGAAUCACAAUGAUGCAUCUUUUUGUAACAUUUGAUUUGGUUUGUCUGGAUGAACUAACCGAAAGCAGCUGAUUAUUUAAAGUUCAUCCUGAACCAUGUGGACUUCCUGUUUGUCUGUUAAACUGAGAAGAAGAAGAAGAAAGAACUCAGCCUCUAAACGGCUCCAGGGUUCUGAGUCUUUGUGUUUUCAGAUCUACUCAAACUACAGAAAAAUCAAACUUCAGCUCGUGUCCUCAGUGUUAGAACUCAAAGAUAGAGUUUAUUUUUAAUGUGUGUGUGUCAGAUUUAAGCUUAAAGCAGAAAAACAGCCUCAUAAUGUGAAUAAAUGUCCACCUUGGAUACUGUAUAUGCACAACAGAGUCAUUCUGAAUACUAGUUGUGACGACGUUUAAUGUGGCCUUUUCUUUCUCUUCCUGUAACGACUACUGUUAACAAUGAUUUGUACAAUAUGGUUUAUUAAAGUUAAACAGAAAUGAA